rnacentral:misc_RNA from 1 species
GAAAUGCGAUAAGUAAUGUGAAUUGCAGAAUUCAGUGAAUCAUCGAAUCUUUGAACGCACAUUGCGCCCCCUGGUAUUCCGGGGGGCAUGCCUGUUCGAGCGUCAUUUCACCACUCAAGCCUCGCUUGGUAUUGGGCAACGCGGUCCGCCGCGUGCCUCAAAUCGACCGGCUGGGUCUUCUGUCCCCUAAGCGUUGUGGAAACUAUUCGCUAAAGGGUGUUCGGGAGGCUACGCCGUAAAACAACCCCAUUUCUAAGGUGGACCUCGGAUCAGGUAGGGAUACCCGCUGAACUUAAGC